rnacentral:rRNA from 1 species
AUACGUAGGGUGCGAGCGUUGACCGGAAUUACUGGGCGUAAAGAGCUCGUAGGUGGUUUGUCGCGUCGUAUGUGAAAUUCCGGGGCUUAACUCCGGGCGUGCAGGCGAUACGGGCAUAACUUGAGUACUGUAGGGGAGACUGGAAUUCCUGGUGUAGCGGUGAAAUGGGCAGAUAUCAGGAGGAAAACCGGUGGCGAAGGGGGGUCUCUGGGCAGUAACUGACGCUGAGGAGCGAAAGCAUGGGUAGCGAACAGGAUUAGAUACCCUGGUAGUCCAUGCCGUAAACGGUGGGCGCUAGGUGUAGGGGUCUUCCACGACUUCUGUGCCGUAGCUAACGCAUUAAGCGCCCCGCCUGGGGAGUACGGCCGCAAGGCUAAAACUCAAAUGAAUUGACGGGG